rnacentral:ncRNA from 1 species
GUUUAUAUCGGACGGCUAAAAACAUCAGCGAUAUAGAUACAAGCGCAACUGGGGGAUAGUAGAUGUAACAGCGCACAAAUCGGUGGCGAAGCUUAGAUCCGAUUCUACGAAAGUCUGGCGAGU